rnacentral:rRNA from 1 species
GUGGGGAAUAUUGGACAAUGGGGGCAACCCUGAUCCAGCCAUGCCGCGUGCGUGAAGAAGGCCUUAGGGUUGUAAAGCGCUUUCGGCGGGGAAGAUGAUGACGGUACCCGCAGAAGAAGCCCCGGCUAACUCCGUGCCAGCAGCCGCGGUAAUACGGAGGGGGCAAGCGUUGUUCGGAAUUACUGGGCGUAAAGGGCGCGUAGGCGGACCAUCAUGUCAGGGGUGAAAGCCCUGGGCUCAACCUGGGAACUGCCCUUGAAACUGGUGGUCUAGAGGCCGAGAGAGGAUGGCGGAAUUCCCAGUGUAGAGGUGAAAUUCGUAGAUAUUGGGAAGAACACCAGUGGCGAAGGCGGCCAUCUGGCUCGGUUCUGACGCUGAGGCGCGAAAGCGUGGGGAGCAAACAGG